ensembl:lncRNA
GGGAGGAAGGCUGAGAGCGGGCAGGACCCCAGUGAGUAGUGGGCGGCAGGAAGAGCCUACCACUCCUCUGUCAUGGUGGCCUCUCCCCCAGCCAAACUUCUUAGAGUCUUGGGUAGGAAAACACAAAUGAAGACGAUCAGAACACCACUGCCUCGUAGGAUACCUGGUGCUUCUUGAUGAGCCCUGGUCAGGAGCAGAGAAUUAGAUGAUGGGUAGAAGUCUUCUUCAUGGAAUAACAGAUUUCAGUCAGAAGACACGUCUGCCACACUGCCAAGCGGGCCACGCCAUGCCUUCCGGAAGAGCAAUCUCCCAGGAGCUCACAAAGCCAGCUACAUCCACCACGGGGCCAGAAC